AUACAUAGCAUUUGCUUUGACAGUGAUGCAUUGUAAAUUUGAACCAGUUCAUUGAAUGGUGAAGAAAUUUAGUGUUGCGUAGUGGUAUUGUGGUCGUACUGGUCCCCCAUGUGAUUCUUAUUGAUUUUCAAACGUCGCUCCCGAACAGCUGUUUUUGGGAUGCGGAAGAGACUCGUCGCCUCCUCUGAACAACGAUAUCUGCCACAUGGCAACGGAAUUAUACCGAAAUAUUCCUUUCGAAUAAGAACAAUCAUGCCAUAAUAUUAAAUUCGUUCAUUAACUUUAAAAAAAAAAGCGUACGAUUAUCUUGUUCGUAAAAAAUUGUGCGAUUUGUGUGAAGUGUUAAACACUCGUCGGUUCUACUUGAAAAAGGAAUUAUAUAUUAACUGCAGUGUAACUGACGAGACGAAAUAUUGGAAAUAAAAGUGUCGGUGGUUUUGUGAUUUUUUUAGUGAUUUUUUGUGAUUUCCUUUAUUUGGAUUUUCAUCGUGGAUUGUGGAUUUCAAACGGUCAAUAAGACGGUGAGGUGGGCCCACGCGGGGGGCGAUGCUGGGCGGGGCGGCGGGGGGCGCCCGCUCCCGCCCGCCCGCUGACCUCCAGCAAGCAGGUGUAAGCAGGUUCCCGCUGUACUCGCUGUUCCCCACGCAAACAAGCAGACAAACCGUGCACAAAGUGUCGGAGAGCGUGGUGUCCCGGUCGCUGGCGCUGGGCGCGCCCACGCCACCGCCGCACUCGCCAUACUCCCCGCUGCCUCUCGACCUGCUCGCCUGUUCGCAGCGGCUACUUAUUGACAAGGAGGGCAACAAGAUGGAAGAUGGCAAGCUGGGCAAGGCGUGCCUGCCGGAGCUCUGCUGCCCUGGUGACCGGUCGGACGGCCACGUCAUGCAGCCGCUCACCAUCAAAACUGAGCAGGCCAAACGCACCUGCAAUACUUGCCUCACCAACUCACCUAAAAAGGUGGUGCAAGCGGAAGGCGGGUGCAGCCGCACCAACCCGGUCACGUGGCUGGGCGUUGGGCAGAACGUGCACGUGCAGGUGAAGCGCGAGCCGCACCACAUGCAUAUGUCGGAGCUGGUCGCCGUCAAGCUGGAGCAGGCCUCGCCCGGCACCAAGCCCGACCAGCCCAUGCCCGCCAUACCCGCCUCGCUCAACAACGUGUUCGUGACAGGUUCGAUUCCCGUGGGCAUAGCGGUGGCGCGGCAGCGCGUGGGCGACGCAGGCCUACUGGCCGCGCUCUCGCAGAAAGACAACCAGCGAUUACAUGACAUUGGCGCCACGUCAUUCGGUUUCUGUUCUCACACCGCAGACGCGGCGCAGGCGGCCAUGACGGUGGGCGUGGCCAACGUGCUGUGUGACGAGCGCCCCGCCCCACUGGCGUGGCCGGCGCCCGCGCCCGCUCCCCCCGCACCGCUCUGGCAGUACCCAGCUCAAGUGUCAAUGGAGAGCAUGAUGGUGGGCGGCAUGGGUGUUGGCGUGGGCUCCGUGGGCGGUGUGGGCGGAGGCGUCGGUGCGGUAGGCGGCUACCAGCUAGUGCGCGAGCCCACGUCGGGCGCGCUGCUACUACUGCCGGCGCCGCCCGAUUUGCCGCACACUGUGGUGUGGGGUGGCAUGCCCUACCCGCCAGCGCCGCUGCUGCUACCGCCUGCUCCGCACGCGCCGCAUCACCUGCAGCUGCUGCACGCGCCCGGAGAGCUGCUCGCCUCCACCGCCACGCUGCAGCACACGCACACGCACUCCACGCGGCUGGUGACGCUAGCGCCCGCGCCCGCACCGCAACCUCACCCCGCCCACACAGUGGACAAGCGCAAACCCAUCAUGCAGCCGCUUAUCACACCGCACGCACUCAUCAAGAUCGAGCCGGAGCCACCGCAGGAGAAGCCUCCGCCGACGUUCGCGCCGGAGCCGGUCCAGCAGCCGAUACUCACACAUCUCUACUAUCAGCCCGAGUUUCCGGAGCAAGCGUGCAGGAGCCAGGCCACCUCGCCCGCCGCGCCCCCCACUCCGCCCCCCGAUGCAGCCGAGGGCCCCGCGCACAAGGACGCUUCCAAUCAAACCGACCACAUAGAUGACUACGAGGAUUCCCCUAAUCACGCCGAUGAAGAUGAAAGAGAGGUGGCGUGUGUGGGAGUUGCACACUUUCCGGAAGAAUCAUCGUCACUCCAGCUGCAGGAGCACGGUCACCAGCUGCAGCCCCCUCCCAUAGACAGCGCAGAGGAGUCCUCCUCCGAGGCGCUUGCCAACUCGACGGUCGUAGGAGCAGUAGAGAAGGCUAUAAAUGCGAUAGAAAGAGAUGACUCGAUGGACAACUCGAGUAGUGGCGGCUCCCACGACUUGGUGAUCGACACGGCGGGCAGCUCGCCAGUACUGGCGGUGCAGCCCGCAGGCCCACUGUUACAGCCUGCCGGCCCGCUGGUCGACGUCAGCGGCCUCGAGCUAUUAUCCAACAGCAUUGAGCAGUUCGAAAGAACGACUCCGGGCAUCAGCUUGCCGACGUUAGAUCAGACGCCGCUAACUAUCGAUACGAGGCCGACGACCAAGUUAAACAUUAUGAUCAAAACUUCACCAAAAUCACCUCCCAGGACCGACGCGGAAUCGCACAGGAGAUUUGAAUUCCCGGUUGCCGAACCUAUAGCCGGUGAACGGACGAAACCUUCCUUAGAUGGUUUAGAUAUUUUAUGCGCGCUGGCAGAACAGAGGUUUAUGGAGGAAGUUGAGGAGAGUCCUCCUCCUGCCAUCCAAUUGCCAACUCGACCUUUUAUAAAAACUGAGCCGCUGCUGAGUCCCCCGCCGGUGGAGAGAUCCUCGGAAUCGAUCAAAAAAGACAAACAUAACAGACACAGGGACGAUUCUUCGAGUGAAAGGAGAAGAAAAAGGAGUCGAGACAGGGAGGAUAGGUUAAGGCAUAAGUUGGAAAAGAUGCGUCGCCACAAGCGGGAGAAGGACAGAGAAGGAGGGAAAGGUAACGGCGGAGAGUUGGAGGCGAGCCUGAGACGCGUGACGGCUUGCCCGUGCGGCUCGAUGACCUGCACUCACUCGUCCUCCGUGCCCUCCGCCCAAGCUCUCGUCAACGCUAUGGAGAAGGACAUGCGUGAACGUCUGCAGGACUUGCAGCGACAGUGCGACGAGAAGAGAGCGCAACUGAACGCCCUGACGCCGCCUCUCCCGGCGCUCUCCAAUCCACCCACGCCGUCCACGCCGGCGCUGUCCCCUAAUUCGGACAGAGGUUCUUCAAAGAAACGUAAGGUCGGCAGACCAAGAAAGGUUUCCAGUCCGGAUUCGACGGAGACUAUAGUCGCCAAGAAACCGAAAUCCAAGAGCAGUUUAGUUGGCUAUCUCUUGGCGAAAGGAAAGUUAAAAGGCGGUAUUUUAUGCAGUAGAGGAGAAGCUUCUAGAGACGAAACCAACAGAACGAGCAAAGUCCGACCUAAGUUGAAAGCGGAACCGAUACUUAAAGUAUACUCCGAGGAGGAGGAAGUGGACGGGGUCUUAAACAGAUCCGCCAGCUCCUCGAUGGAGAGUCUGAAUGAGGUGCGACAGAAGAACCGGGAAAAAGUGGACCGUCUGGUCAGAAAACAUUCAAGAGACGAUUUACCUGAAAUAGAGCUGGCGAUACGGAGAGUGAGCGCGUCCAGCGAAAGUGAUAAAGAACGACGUCGCGCGAAGAAGAGGAGAAAGAGUCUCAAAUCAAAGGAGAGGCCGAGCGAGAGCUCUAAGGAGGAGAGUGCGCAGGCGCCAGUGGUGUCGCGGUGCACGCUCACCGAGGACAAGCUGGACUCGUCACCGCGCGUGCUGACCGCCAUGGGCGGGCUGUUUUACGCCGGCAAGCUGAGCGCGGUGCAGGCGCCUGACGUGUACGCCAUCACGCUGGACGGGGAGAGAGGCAACAAGCCCCACAUCUUGUCCAGGGAAGAGACUCUAAGAGAUGCUAUUCUGGAAGUGAGUCCUCGCUCUGUGUCUGAGCUGGGUUCGGGCACGCGGGUGUGCGCGUACUGGUCGCAGCAGUACCGCUGCCUGUACCCGGGCACGGUGGCGCUUGCCUCCCCCGACCCGCGCCACGACCACCUCGUGCCUGUUGAGUUUGACGACGGCGACUCCGGUCGCAUCGCUCUAGAGGACAUACGCUUCCUCGAACCCAACUAUCCUAUUGUUGAGUACGAGAACACUCUAUUUACACUCGGUAAGCGAAGAAGAAACACAAGUGUUACAGAAGAUAAAAAGGCAGUCGUCCCAUCGACUAGUACAGAAGUUAAAACUGAACCGGCACCCGUGCCGCAGACGGUGACCGAAGAGAAAGCGGAGGAAGAGGAUCGACACAGAGAUAGGAAGAAACUUAAAAAACAUCGAAAGGAAAAACUUAAACGUCUCCAUUCCAGUGAAGAAGAUCCAAACUCCACCGAAUAUGUAAAGAAGAAAAAGAAGAAACACAAGUGUUGCGAGGAGCACUGCAAACACAGAAGACAUCAUAAGAAACAUCACAGGAAACACAAGAAGCGACAUCAUUCUAGUUGCAAGGAACAUUCCAGUUCGUCGGGCGACGAUCACCACAAGAGAAAGUCUUCCACAGAUUAUGUCGAUUCUAUUAAAUCUAACGAGGACUCCGGAGACUCCAAUGACAGGCUGUCCACUCUGAUAGCGGUCGAAAAGUCUCCCGACGACAAAAUGAAGACGGUCAUUAAGAAAGCAGUCUUGUCAAAGAAAACUCUUGUAAAGAACGCAAUUUUAGACUUUAGCAAUCUCGGAAAAAUUACUCUGAAAAAAGACGAUGAUGUUAAAGACAAUCUAAAAGACAGUGGGAUUGGACUGGAAGUGGAUGUGCCGUCUACUUCGAUGGAUGCACCUAAAAAGAAAACUAAAAAGCGCACGGUGUCGUCCACAUCGACGGACAGUGGUGCUGCAUGUGGGGGCGGCGGGGGUGGGGCCGGGGUGAGCAAGAUGGCCGCGUUCUUGCCGGGCGGCGCGCUGUGGCGCUGGCUCGGUCCCGCCUACCGGCGCACCGCGCGUCCCCGUCACCGCAAGCUCUUCUACCGCGCCAUACAACGCGGCGAGGAGACUCUGCAUGUGGGCGAAGCAGCAGUGUUCCUGUCAACGGGGCGCGCAGACCGACCGUACAUCGGUCGCAUAGUGGCGCUGUGGGAGGCGCGCGGCGCUAUGGCUGUGCGCGUCGAGUGGUUCUACCACCCCGAGGAGACCGUCGGCUGCCGCGGUCCGCUCAAGUACCCGGGCGGUCUGUUCGAGUCUCCGCACACAGACGAGAAUGACGUGCAGACGAUAUCACACAAGUGCGAGGUGGUGCCGCUGGCGGAGUACCAGGCGCGCAUGGCCGCGGAAGCGCGCUCUGCCGACGACAAUAAUGACCUCUACUACUUGGCCGGUCGCUAUGAGCCCACGCAGCGCGCGCUCUCCAUGCAGCCCGACGUGCCCUUCGCCGAUGAUCCCGCGCCAUAGUCCUCUCAUGUGCGCCUGGUACAUACAUGCUCAUGAGACUUUCAAUCUUACCACAAGAAGGACUUUCUUUACUGUAACUUUGACCAGGUCUAAAAAGUUCGCAUAGUAUUUUUUAUUAUAAUGCAACCGCAAAAAAAGUCAACUUAAAUUGUAGGGAUAUUUUGGUCAUUGCUCUGAUUUAUUGAGAAAAUAUUUAUUCAUAUUUUCUACUUGAACAACGUUUUUAUGUGUAGUUUUGACAAAAUAACAAGAUGAUUUUGUCGAUCCCAGAGAGAUUACAAUUCUAACAUUUAUUAUACACACUUAAAAGAAGUACAUUUAAGCUCUUAGGUAUAUUUAUAUUGUUCUAUAUUGAACUGACGAAAUGUUUUUAACAAGCGAUAAUUUAGAAAUGAUAUAAGAUUCACUUUUAUCUAUAAAAAUGUACAAACAGUACAGUGGGUUUUGACUGAAGCACUUUCGACACAUUUUGCCAUCACUUACAGUCUCUAUGAAAAAAUAGAGACAAAAGAUACUGCAGUUAAAAUCCAUUGUAAAACAUAGUGAUGUUCUGUUUAUCGCACUCUCUUCACGUCGUGUUGUAUCCAUAUAGUAUUGUCUCUCGGUGUUAGGGUAGCGAUAGCCGCCAUUCCCCGUAGCCGUGUAGCAAGGACCCUUAUAUACAGGUUUAUAAAGUACAAUUGUAGAUCGUGAGGCUCAAUACUACGACACUGCCCUAACUGGGGCAUAAAGUUAUAUUGCACCAACUGGGGCAUAAAGUACAUUGCACCAGCUGGGGUAAAAAGAUACGUUGCACCCGCUGGGGCAUAAAUUUUGAUAGCAGUAGCUGGGGCAUAAAGGUACGCUGCCCCAGUUGGGGCGUAGAGGUACAUUAAGUUAUAGUUACCCUUGUUACGUUAUGAUUGGGGCGUUAUUGUGGUUGUUGUGUUGUGUUGUUUGCCAGUUUCAAUUGGCGAUGUUGUCGAGACGCGGAGUUGUGAUCGAGGGAGUUGGUGAUAUGUGAUUUAUUUUUUAAUAACCUAGUUCUUAAUGUCAGUACGUAGUUGGUUUAGUACUUUUUUGUAUAUUUAAUUGUAGCAUUGUAACUGCGUAGUUUACUUCGGUUAUAUCUAAACUGCAAUACUGUUUCGACUAGUCCGUUUAUUAAUUGCAAAUGACCAGUGUUACAUUGGGGAGGGAUUGGCUUACGGAAAUGCAAAUUAUUUAGGGGGCGAAAUGUUUUGUUAUAUUAUUGUUUUAUUCGAUGAUUCUUCUUAUAUUUUCGGUUGAUAAUUUUAUGUUUGAGGUAUACAAUUUAUAUGGAAAUGGUGCUAGAAAGCUUGAUAUUGCUUUAUUUCGGCGUAGUUAAUAUUGUACAUACACAAUACGGCCGGUGCACUAAGGUUGCCAUUUUUUUCUACUUGAUUAAUCUUCUUAGCGUAUAAUUUACAGGGUACUAUGGACCCUGCUGGUAAUGUUUUUCAUAUCAGGAUGUAAAUAAAGGUACUGAAAAGACAGGGAUAUAGAUAGGUCGGGCAAGGAUAGAUAGGUUUUGUACGAGGCGUUGCCAAAAGUGUCUGAUAGAAAACUGAAGGAAUGAUCCCGCGCCACUCGAAUGUUGCUGACUGUACGUGUUAUAAGGUACACUCACCGACAGAUAAAUGUAAGCAUACCAAACUUUUUAAUCGCUCGAUUUAAAAAAUUACUUUACUGGUAGUUUUAAAAGUCUUAAAAAAUGUUAAUGUAGGUUUUUAAUACGUUGAACAAUCACUUAGUUAGGACUUAGUUCAUCAAAAAAGCACGAUAUCAUUAGAGUUUUUUUUAAAUUAUGUUUUGUAUGUUUAAAAGUGUUUACAAUAUUUUGUCGCUGAGUGUACCUUUAUAUUAAGCAUAGUGAGGUGACUUUAUAAGUACAUUUCUGUUGUGAAUAGUUUACGUACCCGUACUCUAACAUUGUUUGCCCGCAUUGUACUUUUUUGUUAUCGAAUUGCUUUACUAUUAAGUUACAAUAAGUUCUAGUUUUAAGACCUUUUUAAUUUUUAUAUACAAAAAAAAUAUAUAUCGAAAACUCUAAAUCUUGAAAUUAAAUUUGGAUACAAGAUACGAAAAAAAAAUUACAAAAAAUUUCGAAAAGAUAUUCAAGAGUAUUUUUGUAUUAUUAUAAAGUAGCGUUUAUUUUCAAAUAUCUGAUGCGAAGCGAAAGUACAAAUGUUUGUGGUUUGUACGUAAAUGGCUGAAAUGUUACAGUCGAUGUCAAAAUAUAAGUAGCGACGUUAAAUGAUUGAAAGCCAUAAAAAUAAUUAUUAGAUUUAAAGAUUAAUAAUAUAUCAAGCAUUGAUAAUAUAAAGAUUAUAAAUACGCUUAAA